rnacentral:rRNA from 1 species
AGCUUGCUCUUGAUGACGAGUGGCGCACGGGUGAGUAACGCGUAUGCAAUCUACCUAUAACUGAGGAAUAGCCCAGAGAAAUUUGGAUUAAUACUUCAUAAUAUUAUUAUUUGGCAUCAUUUAAUAAUUAAAACUCCGGUGGUUAUAGAUGAGCAUGCGUUCUAUUAGCUAGUUGGUGAGGCAAGAGCUCACCAAGGCUACGAUAGAUAGGGGGCCUGAAAGGGUGAUCCCCCACACUGGUACCGAGACACGGACCAGACUCCUACGGGAGGCAGCAGUGAGGAAUAUUGCACAAUGGAGGAAACUCUGAUGCAGCCAUGCCGCGUGCAGGAUGAAGGCCCUAUGGGUUGUAAACUGCUUUUUUACAAGAAGAAACCUUGGUACGUGUACCAACUUGACGGUAUUGUAAGAAUAAGCACCGGCUAACUCCGUGCCAGCAGCCGCGGUAAUACGGAGGGUGCAAGCGUUAUCCGGAUUUAUUAGGUUUAAAGGGUUCGCAGGCGGAAUUUUAAGUCAGUGGUGAAAGCCUACAGCUCAACUGUA